rnacentral:rRNA from 1 species
AACCAGCACCUCAAGUGGUCAGGAUGAUUAUUGGGCCUAAAGCAUCCGUAGCCUGUUCUGUAAGUUUUCGGUUAAAUCUAUGCGCUCAACGUAUAGGCUGCCGAAAAUACUGCAGAACUAGGGAGUGGGAGAGGUAGACGGUACUCGGUAGGAAGGGGUAAAAUCCUUUGAUCUAUCGAUGACCACCUGUGGCGAAGGCGGUCUACCAGAACACGUUCGACGGUGAGGGAUGAAAGCUGGGGGAGCAAACCGG